ACACCAGAUUAACCAGCAAAGCGUUUUCUCCUGUGGGAGGUUAAGGAAAUAAAAAUAUGUGGAAAUCACAUGGAAGAUGUACAGAGUCACCUAUCAAGCAGCUUUUAAGGCGAAGAGGAGGAUUAAGAGACUGUGCAGUUUUCUUUUGGAGAAGGUGAAGACUCAUCUCAUAAGGAUUUAAACUUCAGCAGCAUCAGUGCCAGGCGGGAUGCGUUUUAGGCACACUUGGAAAUCUAAAACUCAUGGAGACACUUUGAGGAUUAUAAAAAAUGUGUAGUAUGUCUCUCCACAAGACAUGUCCCAGCCCAAAGUCACAGGGAUAGCAGGAUAUUGCAUUUCUGAUCCUCCUCGGCCCUCAGCAUGGGGAGUGUGGGAGUGGUGAGGUCUGGGAGAUCACGACCUUAAUUCUCUCCAAGACAGACAGUUUAAUUAACACUGGAGGAAUCCUCCCUGGCUCUAGACCUCUACAAUGGGAAUGUUCAGGGGAAUUGGAUUGCCAAGGCCCCCUUCUUUGUAGUCCACAUUGCGAGAAGACCACCUCACAGGGAUUUUCCCCUUCACCAGAUCUGGGUGGUAACCUGCAUGAAAAUGGAGAAGGAAAAUGAAGAGCUCGGUGGAAAAAUGACUAAAGGGAAGGGAGAACAUUUGCCUUUCUUGAGUAUGUUUAACUGUUAAAUUAUGUCUUUUUGUCACAUAUACUGGAUCAUCUAAUGACUGUCAUCUCCACUCUCAACUCCUUCAACUGCAACUCAAGUAUUCAACUUUCUGUCUGUGGCAACAUCUGCUGGCUUUGGAGUCUAAUUGAUGAGUUUAGAUUAUGCAGUCACCAAGGGUUCUCAGGUGUGACUUUUCACAGGAUAUCACUGACUGUAAAGAAGUUAAAGAAGAAAAUCAUCAUGCACAGGUGCUAUUUUGUAUGUGUUAUACAGUGAAAAUCACGACAACUCUCGCUGAAAGUUUUGUUUAUAUUUUUCAAAGGAAUGAUGUGAGUUUGUAUGAAGUUCUGUAUUAAUGAACUCUACAUUAAUUGUAUAUUCAGGACCACUAUCAUUUUUCUGUUUAUUUACUUUUAAUCUACGAUGAUGUACAGUGCUCCUCUUUACAGGUGUUUUCCUAAUGGUUUUCCUGUAUGUACACUUGAGAACGCACGUGCUGAGAACAAUGCAUGCAUCUGAGGAAUCGUACUGUUACAAAGCUUUGACAAGCCAAGUACAAUAACAUAUUCAUGUAUGUGCACAGUAUCUGUUAAGAAAUAAUGAUCACAAUUUGGUCACAGGGGAACAAAGACAACAUUAAGGACAUGUCCUCAUACAAUAUGUAAAGCUCUGUGGAGAAAUAUGCCCAGACCGUAGUGCCCUCAUGUAAAAAUAUAUGUACAGCGUUUCACUUUCAUCACAGUAGCAUAGAUUAUUAAUGACUAUUGUAAAGAA